CAGCUUCUAAUCGUCUUCGGACAACUAAUUGACCAUUUGACCUCAAAUCAGGUAGGACUACCCGCUGAACUUAAGCAUAUCAAUAAGCGGAGGAAAAGAAACUAACAAGGAUUCCCCUAGUAACUGCGAGUGAAGAGGGAAAAGCUCAAAUUUAAAAUCUGGCAGCUUCGCUGUCCGAGUUGUAAUUUAGAGAAGCGAUGCCCGCGCUGGACCGUGUACAAGUCUCCUGA
rnacentral:rRNA from 1 species